UACGGGAGGCAGCAGUGGGGAAUAUUGGGCAAUGGGGGAAACCCUGACCCAGCGACGCCGCGUGAAGGAAGAAGGUCUUCGGAUUGUAAACUUUAAAUAGCAGGGACGAAGAAAGUGACGUUACCUGCAGGGAAGCCACGGCUAACUACGUGCCAGCAGCCGCGGUAAU
rnacentral:rRNA from 1 species